rfam:Dipodomys ordii contig_42714, whole genome shotgun sequence.
GGGCAGGUGGCUCAGUGGUAGAGUGCUUGCUUUGCAUCCAUGAGGCCCUGGGUUCGAUUCCUCAGCACCCCA